CGCGGGGUGGAGCAGCCUGGUAGCUCGUCGGGCUCAUAACCCGAAGUCGUCGGUUCAAAUCCGGCCCCCGCAACCA
rnacentral:tRNA from 3 species